UGGUGGGUAGUUUGACUGGGGCGGUCUCCUCCCAAAGAGUAACGGAGGAGCACGAAGGUUAGCUAAUCACGGUCGGACAUCGUGAGGUUAGUGCAAAGGCAUAAGCUAGCUUGACUGCGAGAGUGACGGCUCGAGCAGGUACGAAAGUAGGUCUUAGUGAUCCGGUGGUUCUGAAUGGAAGGGCCAUCGCUCAACGGAUAAAAGGUACUCCGGGGAUAACAGGCUGAUACCGCCCAAGAGUUCAUAUCGACGGCGGUGUUUGGCACCUCGAUGUCGGCUCAUCACAUCCUGGGGCUGAAGUAGGUCCCAAGGGUAUGGCUGUUCGCCAUUUAAAGUGGUACGCGAGCUGGGUUUAGAACGUCGUGAGACAGUUCGGUCCCUAUCUGCCGUGGGCGUUGGAAGAUUGAGAGGGGCUGCUCCUAGUACGAGAGGACCGGAGUGGACGAAUCACUGGUGUUCGGGUUGUCAUGCCAAUGGCAUUGCCCGGUAGCUAAAUUCGGAAGAGAUAACCGCUGAAAGCAUCUAAGCGGGAAACUUGCCUCGAGAUGAGUCUUCCCUGGGGCUUUAA
rnacentral:rRNA from 1 species